rnacentral:rRNA from 1 species
AGAGUUUGAUCCUGGCUCAGGAUGAACGCUAGCGGCAGGCUUAACACAUGCAAGUCGAGGGGUAACAGGGGGCUUGCACCGCUGACGACCGGCGCACGGGGGCACGGGUGAGUAAUGCGUAUGCAACCUACCUGUAACAGAGGGAUAGCCCAUAGAAAUGUGGAUUAAUAUCUCAUAGUUCUAUUAGAUCGCAUGAUUUGAUAGAUAAAACUGAGGUGGUAUAAGAUGGGCAUGCGUCUGAUUAGGUAGUUGGUGAGGUAACGGCUCACCAAGCCGACGAUCAGUAGGGGUUCUGAGAGGAUUACCCCCCACACUGGUACUGAGACACGGACCAGACUCCUACGGGAGGCAGCAGUGAGGAAUAUUGGUCAAUGGGCGCAAGCCUGAACCAGCCAUCCCGCGUGCAGGAUGACGGCCCUAUGGGUUGUAAACUGCUUUUAUACACCAAGAAAAACACCCACGUGUGGGUGCCCGACGGUAGUGUAUGAAUAAGCAUCGGCUAACUCCGUGCCAGCAGCCGCGGUAAUACGGAGGAUGCAAGCGUUAUCCGGAUUCAUUGGGUUUAAAGGGUGCGUAGGCGGCUUUUUAAGUCAGUGGUGAAAUCCUGCCGCUUAACGGUAGAAUUGCCAUUGAUACUGAAGAGCUUGAGUACAGUUGAGGUAAGCGGAAUGUGUAGUGUAGCGGUGAAAUGCUUAGAUAUUACACAGAACACCAAUUGCGAAGGCAGCUUACUAAACUGAUACUGACGCUGAUGCACGAAAGCGUGGGGAGCGAACAGGAUUAGAUACCCUGGUAGUCCACGCCGUAAACGAUGGGUACUAGGUGUUGCGGGUAUUGACCCCCGGCCAAGCGAAAGCAUUAAGUGAGCCACCUGGGGAGUACGAUCGCAAGGUUGAAACUCAAAGGAAUUGACGGGGGCCCGCACAAGCGGAGGAACAUGUGGUUUAAUUCGAUGAUACGCGAGGAACCUUACCUGGGCUUAAAUGUAGGCUGCAUUCGGCUGAAAGGCUGAAGUUUACUAAGACACAGAGACAGGUGCUGCAUGGUUGUCGUCAGCUCGUGCCGUGAGGUGUUAGGUUAAGUCCUGCAACGAGCGCAACCCUUACCUUUAGUUGCCAGCAUGUAAUGAUGGGCACUCUAAAGAGACUGCCGGUGACAAACCGGAGGAAGGUGGGGAUGACGUCAAAUCAGCACGGCCCUUAUGUCCAGGGCUACACACGUGUUACAAUGGCCGAUACAAAGGGCAGCUACCAGGUGACUGGAUGCUAAUCUCUAAAGUCGGUCUCAGUUCGGAUCGAAGUCUGCAACCCGACUUCGUGAAGCUGGAUUCGCUAGUAAUCGCAUAUCAGCCAUGAUGCGGUGAAUACGUUCCCGGGCCUUGUACACACCGCCCGUCAAACAAUGGAAGCUGGGGGUACCUGAAGUCUGUAACCGCAAGGAGCGGCCUAGGGUAAAACUAGUAACUGGUGUUAAGUCGUAACAAGGUAACC